CCUACGGGUGGCAGCAGUGGGGAAUAUUGGACAAUGGGCGAAAGCCUGAUCCAGCCAUGCCGCGUGUGUGAAGAAGGCCUUCGGGUUGUAAAGCACUUUCAGUGGGGAAGAAAGCCUUGGGGCUAAUACCCUCGAGGAAGGACAUCACCCACAGAAGAAGCACCGGCUAACUCCGUGCCAGCAGCCGCGGUAAUACGGAGGGUGCGAGCGUUAAUCGGAAUUACUGGGCGUAAAGCGCGCGUAGGCGGUCUGAUAAGCCGGUUGUGAAAGCCCCGGGCUCAACCUGGGAACGGCAUCCGGAACUGUCAGGCUAGAGUGCAGGAGAGGAAGGUAGAAUUCCCGGUGUAGCGGUGAAAUGCGUAGAGAUCGGGAGGAAUACCUGUGGCGAAGGCGGCCUUCUGGACUGACACUGACGCUGAGGUGCGAAAGCGUGGGUAGCAAACAGGAUUAGAUACCCGAGUAGUC
rnacentral:rRNA from 1 species